rnacentral:rRNA from 1 species
GACGAACGCUGGCGGCGUGCUUAACACAUGCAAGUCGAACGGUGAGGGCGGUGCUUGCACCGCCUGAUCAGUGGCGAACGGGUGAGUAACACGUGAGCAACCUGCCCCCGACUCCGGGAUAGCCUCGGGAAACCGGGAUUAAUACCGGAUACGACCCCCCACGGCAUCGUGGGGUGUGGAAAGGAUUCCGGUCGGGGAUGGGCUCGCGGCCUAUCAGCUUGUUGGUGGGGUAACGGCCUACCAAGGCGACGACGGGUAGCCGGCCUGAGAGGGCGACCGGCAACACUGGGACUGAGACACGGCCCAGACUCCUACGGGAGGCAGCAGUGGGGAAUAUUGCGCAAUGGGCGAAAGCCUGACGCAGCGACGCCGCGUGAGGGAUGACGGCCUUCGGGUUGUAAACCUCUUUCAGUUGGGACGAAGCUCUUCGGAGUGACGGUACCCUCAGAAGAAGCACCGGCUAACUACGUGCCAGCCGCCGCCGUAAUAC